AGAUGGCAUCAGCUCUACUACCAGGGCUACCGGUUCCAUGCUUGGGUCUAGAAGCGAAAGUCGAAGUAGCUGGAGGAUGCUCCCUUAACACCGACUGUAUUCAGAUCUAUGGAGGAGAAGCAGCGCGGGAAUAGGGAAAACUAGUCCGACCCAUCACAGCCUCAAACGACUCCACCCCCGUGCUGUCUUACUAAGCGCCGUUAACUCAUUUGCUUUUAAAUAAAAGCAGUAUUUCUAGUUAACUACUUUAUUGCAGCUAAUUAGAUACUAUCAGCUGCUAGUUAUUAGGGGAAAAAAACUGCAUUUUGUGAAACAUUUGGCCUACUAGACUACUACUACGUUAUGCAUGUACCAGUUGUAGACAUUGCGUUCGUUGUAUGAAUCAUAUAUGUAUUUGUUUC